rnacentral:lncRNA from 1 species
AUCCAGACCACCAUCCCUGAGCCAAUGCUCACGCAGGGGGUGGCUGGGGUCCUUCAACCAGGAUGGCUGGAACCUGUUGUGAGGCCAUGUGGCUUGCUGGCCUUGUAUGCACCAUUGCUGGCCUUGUAUGCACCAUCGCUGUGUCCCUUUUUAACCCUCUUCCUACUCUCAUCUUCACUCAUUGAAAAUUUUUGUAAAUUGGUCUGCUGAAGUCGAAAAUGCAGGG